GAUGAACGCUGGCGGCGUGCCUAAUACAUGCAAGUCGAGCGAACAGACGAGGAGCUUGCUCCUCUGACGUUAGCGGCGGACGGGUGAGUAACACGUGUAUCACCUACCUAUCUGACUGGUAUAACUUCGGGAAACCGGAGCUAAUCCCGUAUAAUAUCUUGAACCGCAUGGUUCAAUAGUGAAAUACGGUUUUUCUGUCACUUAUAGAUGGAUCCGCGCCUCAUUAGCUAGUUGUUAAGGUGACGGCUUACCAAGGCAACGAUGCGUAGCCGACCUGAGAGGGUGAUCGGCCGCCCUGGAACUGAGACACGGACCAGACUCCUACGAGAGGCAGCAGUAGCGUAUCUGCCGCAAUGGGCGAAAGCCUGACGGAGCAACGCCGCGUGAGUGAUGAAGGUCUUCGGAUCGUAAUACUCUGUUAUGAGGGAAGAACAAAUGUGUAAGUAACUAUGCACGUCUUGACGGUAACUAGUAAGAAAGCCACGGCUAACUACGUG
rnacentral:rRNA from 1 species